rnacentral:tRNA from 1 species
AGGGUAAUAGCCCAGUGGUAGAGCACAAGUUUAGCAUGCUUGAGGUUCUCAGUUCAAUCCCGAGUACCUCUG